UACGGAGGGUGCAAGCGUUAUCCGGAAUCACUGGGUUUAAAGGGUCUGCAGGCGGUUACGCCAGUCCAUGGUGAAAGGCCACAGCUUAACUGUGGGACUGCCAUAGAUACUACGUAACUUGAGUACGGUAGAGGUAUGCGGAAUGGGACAUGUAGCGGUGAAAUGCGUAGAUAUGUCUCAGAACACCAAUUGCGAAGGCAGCAUACUGGACCGUCACUGACGCUGAGGGACGAAAGCGUGGGUAGCGAACAGG
rnacentral:rRNA from 1 species